CGGAGGGUGCAAGCGUUAUCCGGAUUCACUGGGUUUAAAGGGUGCGUAGGCGGGUUGGUAAGUCCGUGGUGAAAUCCCCAAGCUUAACUUGGGAACUGCCGUGGAUACUAUCAAUCUUGAAUAUCGUGGAGGUAAGCGGAAUAUGUCAUGUAGCGGUGAAAUGCUUAGAUAUGACAUAGAACACCAAUUGCGUAGGCAGCUUACUACACGAUCAUUGACGCUGAGGCACGAAAGCGUGGGGAGCAAACAGGAUUAGAUACCCUGGUAGUCCACGCCCUAAACGAUGGAUACUCGACAUCAGCGAUAUACUGUUGGUGUCUGAGCGAAAGCAUUAAGUAUCCCACCUGGGAAGUACGAUCGCAAGAUUG
rnacentral:rRNA from 1 species